UGAUUCUUCAGGAUGGGAUUUUAGUGUUGGAGGCUGGAUAAAUGGGAAGCAAUUCAAGGCCGGGGAUAUGCUAAACAACAUAUUUGACAAAAGUCUCAAGUAAGGUGAUUCUUCAGGAUGGGAUUUUAGUGUUGGAGGCUGGAUAAAUGGGAAGCAAUUCAAGGCCGGGGAUAUGCUAAGUAAGAUGAAAUACUUUGUCAUUUGUAAUUACUUAUUA